GCCCUAACGGGGCAGGGCGCUGUCCUGCACCGCAUGAACCAAGGCAGAGCAAAUGCAUGGGACUCCCGCGUCGAAAACCAAAUACGAGCCAUGGGCCUUUUUACCAAGUGGUCUGCUUCCAUGGGUAGAGCCCACGGCCCAGCUGGGAGAUCCGAUACCACCAGAGGCCUUGCUGACACUUUGCCUUUCUCUUACGCCAUUUCUUCCCCUUUCCUGGGGGAGGCACCACCCUGAGCAUUGAGCUCCAGCUGUUUGGGAGGAGGUAGAGAGUAAAGAAAGCAGCAAGAGAGACGGCCGGGAGAGCCGGUGACGCAGCAAGAGCAGCGAUGUUAUCCACUCUCCAGCUGGAGUGGGACACUGCAGCGGGGCCGGCGAGCUCGGCUCCUCACUGCUGUGUUUCAUGGUUGGGAGUAACUCCCGUAAAAUCACUGUCCCGGGCAUAAGCUGC